rnacentral:telomerase_RNA from 1 species
AAGGCCCAGGGCGGCAAGGCCCGGGCACCUAACCCUGAUUUGCAUAGCUGUGGGUUCUGGACUUUUGUUCUCCGCCCGCUGUUUUUCUCGCUGACUUCCAGCGGGCCAGGAAAGUCCAGAUCUGCAGCGGGCCAUCGCGCGUUCCCGAGCCUAAAAAAAAAAAAAAGUCAGCGCAGGAGCUCCAGGUUCGCCGGGAGCUCCGCGGCGCCGGGCCGGCCUGGGGUCUUAGGACCCCGCUGCCGCCGCGAAGAGUUCGUCUCUGUCAGCCGCGGGGCGCCGGGGGCUGGGGCCAGGCCGGACGAGCGCCGCGAGGACAGAAACGGAACUGGUCCCAGUGUUCGGUGGCUUACCUGAGCUGUGGGAAGCGCACCCGGAACUCGGUUCAAACAACUC